rnacentral:tRNA from 3 species
GGGGCUGUAGCUCAGUUGGGAGAGCGCAUGACUGGCAGUCAUGAGGUCAGGGGUUCGAUCCCCCUCAGCUCCACCA